ensembl:lncRNA
AGGUUAUACUGAUGUUGAUUGGGUAACAUAUGUCCCUAGACAAAGAUGAUGAACAGGGGUUACUGUCAAUCCAAGGGACAGGUUAUACUGAUGUUGAUUGGGUAACAUAUGUCCCUAGACAAAGAUGAUGAACAGGGGUUACUGUCAAUCCAAGGGACAGGUUAUACUGAUGUUGAUUGGGUAACAUAUGUCCCUAGAUAAAGAUGAUGAACAGGGGUUACUGUCAAUCCAAGGGACAGGUUAUACUGAUGUUGAUUGGGUAACAUAUGUCCCUAGAUAAAGAUGAUGAAGUUCACAUCACUUCACUUCCAUUUGUCUCUGUUAUUUCUUGUAUUGUCAACAUUCACGACUAAGGAAGUAGGCCUUUAUAUUUCACUGUUGGCCAGUUAAAGGUCCAAAGCAGCUGUUUUUAUCUCAAUAUCAAAUUAUUUCUGGGUAACAUUUAAGUGCCUUACAGUGAUUGUUUUUAAUUAAAUGGUUAAAAAAAUUUGGGGACAAAAUUUGCUAAUAGUUUGUUAGCAAAGAGACAUUUCUCAAGCAAGAAUUUAUCUGGAACUGUCUGGGUGUGGUCAGAGUGGGGAGGAGACAACGGAAAACUAGCUGUUAUUGGCAGAGAGGUUUUGGAACUCUCUGUCUUAUUGGUCUAUUAACUCAUGUAUCACCCGGUGAUGUCACCAGGCAGGCCAACACUCCUUCCCACCAAAACAGACUGAUAUUUCAGGAGGUCUUUUCAAACAGCUCACUACACUAAACGGACAUGAUCAUCAUUUACAACCUCAUAGUGUUGAAAUAUAUAUAUGUAAAAUACAGGAAACACACAUAUUUUAGUUGUUGACUGUACUACACCUUUAAAUCCUUACCAGGAAGCAUUUAUGUAAACACACUGUACCUAGUGAGAAACCUGAACCAUUACACCACAUAUCAGUAGGAUAUGA